rnacentral:rRNA from 1 species
GCCUGGUAGUGGGGGAUAACGUCCGGAAACGGACGCUAAUACCGCAUACGUCCUACGGGAGAAAGCAGGGGACCUUCGGGCCUUGCGCUAUCAUAUGAGCCUAGGUCGGAUUAGCUAGUUGGUGGGGUAAUGGCUCACCAAGGCGACGAUCCGUAACUGGUCUGAGAGGAUGAUCAGUCACACUGGAACUGAGACACGGUCCAGACUCCUACGGGAGGCACCAGUGGGGAAUAUUGGACAAUGGGCGAAAGCCUGAUCCCCCCAUGCCGCGUGUGUGAAAAAAGUCUUCGGAUUGUAAAGCACUUUAAGUUGGGAGGAAGGGCAGUAAAUUAAUACUUUGCUGUUUUGACGUUACCGACAGAAUAACACCGGCUAUCUCU